UGCAAGAUUUUGGAUUGGAUUGGACUUGGUUACUUUCCUUCUCGUGGCAGUAUUCUUAUUCAUGUGAAGCAGUAUGAUAGAAAAAUGAAGGACAAUAUUAAGAAAGAGUUCAGACUGUUUAUCUGAUUCGCAAUAGUUAAAACCAUUUGAUUAUCUCGAAAUGAUAUUAUGUUUAAUGGAGAACAAAAAAUGUUAAUAAC
rnacentral:lncRNA from 1 species